rnacentral:rRNA from 1 species
UACGAAGGGGGCUAGCGUUGUUCGGAAUCACUGGGCGUAAAGCGCACGUAGGCGGAUUUUUAAGUCAGGGGUGAAAUCCCGGGGCUCAACCUCGGAACUGCCUUUGAUACUGGAGAUCUUGAGUCCGGAAGAGGUAAGUGGAACUGCGAGUGUAGAGGUGAAAUUCGUAGAUAUUCGCAAGAACACCAGUGGCGAAGGCGGCUUACUGGUCCGGAACUGACGCUGAGGUGCGAAAAGCGUGGGGGAGCAAACA